UGGCGGGACUGCGCGGCGGCGACUACAGACGUGUCGGGGGUCCGGGGCCUGUCGCGGUUGCCAAGCGCUCGGCGCUUGGCGCUGGCGCUGGCCAAGGCGAUUUCUGCUCAGUAUCCAGUAGUGGAUCAUGAAUUUGAUGCAGUGGUGGUAGGCGCUGGAGGGGCAGGCUUUGCGAGCUGCAUUUGGCCUUUCCGAGGCAGAGUUUGAUACAGCAUGUGUUACCAAGCUGUUUCCUACCAGGUCACACACUGUUGCAGCGCAGGUAGAAAAUUAUGGCAUGCCGUUUAGCAGAACUGAAGAUGGGAAGAUUUAUCAGCGUGCAUUUGGCGGACACAGCCUCAAGUUUGGAAAGGGCAGGCAGGCCCAUCGGUGCUGCUGUGUGGCUGAUCGGACCGGCCACUCAAUAUUGCACACCUUAUAUGGGAGGUCUCUGCGAUAUGAUACCAGCUGUUUUGUGGAGUAUUUUGCCUUGGAUCUCCUGAUGGAGAAUGGGGAGUGCCGUGGUGUCUUCGCACUGUGCAUACAGGACGGGUCCAUCCAUCGCAUAAGAGCAAAGAAUACUAUUGUUGCCACAGGGCUACGGGCGCACCUACUUGAGCUGCACGUCUGCCCACACCAGCACCAGCGACGGCACGGCCAUGAUCACCAGGGCAGGCCUUCCUUGCCAGGACCUCGAGUUUGUUCAGUUCCACCCCACAGGCACAUAUGGUGCUGGUUGUCUCAUUACGGAAGGAUGUCGUGGAGAGGGAGGCAUUCUCAUUAACAGUCAAGGCGAAAGGUUUAUGGAGCGAUACGCCCCCAUCGCGAAGGACCUGGCGUCUAGAGAUGUGGUGUCUCGGUGGAUGACUCUGGAGAUCCGCGAAGGAAGAGGCUGUGGCCCUGAGAAAGAUCACGUCUACCUGCAGCUGCACCACCUACCUCCAGAGCAGCUGGCCAUGCCCUUGCCCGGCAUUUCAGAGACAGCCAUGAUCUUCGCUGGUGUGGACGUCACGAAGGAGCCGAUCCCUGUCCUCCCCACCGUGCAUUAUAACAUGGACGGCAUUCCCACCAGCUACGAGGGGCAGGUCCUGAGGCACGGGAAUGG
rnacentral:lncRNA from 1 species